rnacentral:lncRNA from 1 species
GCAAAGGCAGGGCCCAUGGGCCAUUAGGACACAUAGUUCUCAGGUGUUUUCAUUUCAUGGCCUGACUUCUUUGAAUUCAGAUUAAAUCCCACUUGACAUGACCCUCUGGGACUCCUCGUGGAAAGUGGAGUCAUGUGAUAUCAGGGAGGCUGCUAAAGCAGUGCCGAGCUUGGGAAUCCCAAGCCAGGAUUUAGAACUUUAAGGGAAGUCACUCAAGGGGGCAUCACAAUGCUGAACUGGGAACCUUUCAACAAUGCUUAAGGGAUAAGUGAUAAGACAGGGGCCUCCAGAAUGAGUGACUAGCCUCCCUUUACAGUCUCACCUGCUCAGCUCUGUGACUCCAAACUGCAGUGUUUUCUCUCUUCAGUGUUGAUGGCAUGGCUAGUGCUCAGUCAUCUGGUCACCACAACUCUACUGAGCCCCUCCCCUGGGUGCUGGACUGGCUCUAACACUGUGCGAACAGACAGAGGAAGGCUCAUGCUUGUGGAGCCAACGUUCUAAGUUGGGGAAGAGUCAAUGUAUGAAUUUUAAAAACAGUAAAACAAGAUCAUUUCAGAGAACGGAAGACAACAGCAAGCACGGGCCACCUGUGACCACGUGGACCCUAGGACCCAAGAGCAUGGCCCUGGAGCUGCCUGGCCCUACUGGCCUAGACUGGGCCUCGGCCACGCGCUCCUCACCUUCACAGUGGCAUUGCAGUACCGGGCACAGCCGCUCUUCAGGCUCCCAAACCUGCCACUGUAGACACAUCUGUGUGUGAAGAGUGCCUGGAGAAAGCCAAGGAGGGAAAGCAUGGCAGUCAGCAUGUUUAGGUCCUCCAGGCACUGCACACCCUCUGCAGACACUUGCCAUUGUACUUCCAUUUCACCACUGACGUCAGGAGAGAGUGCUGGACCACACUAGCAGACCUGGGUCUACAUCAGAGCUUGGACACCCUUUUUUAGGCCUGUUCCCUUGUUGGUGGAAUACAGGCCAGAGUUUGCAUCAUCCAUGGCCCACAGAUCUUUAUUCCCUCUUCCAUGCCACAGCAGAUGUCUCUAAGCAGAAAAUAUUUUCUGUUCAUUCUGGAUACGGUCUAGUCUCCCCUUCCGAUCUAUAGCCAUCCCUAAGAUCUCCUACAGAGACAUUUUGGAGCCCCCAAAGGGUCUAUCUACACUUCAUUGAAAGGUUUGCCAAACAAAAUUGUGAUAGUCUGAGUUUUUCUCUUAGGAGUGGGGCAGAUUUAUAUGCAUCCUUCCAUUCUAACCAACAAUGCCCACUCAUAAUUAUCUAGAACUCAUGUUUACUGAGAACAUUUUAUGGGCCAGACACAUUGCACAGAUGAGUUCAUCAAUCUUCAAUUCUAUGUGGAUGUUUCUCAUGCCAUUUUUUAUAGAUAAGGAAACAGGCCCAGACAGGUUAAAUCAUUUUUUCCAAGAAACACUGAUAGUAAGUAUAAGGUCUAGAGAAUGGGUCUUAUCACGUACAGACUUUAGGAUCACAGUCAUGUAGCCUCUGUGGGCCUCAGCUGCCUAAUUUAUAAAAUAUCAAGAAAAUAUUGAUGAGACAAUAAUGCUGAUUUCAAGUUUUGUCACGAGAAUUUAGUCUCUGGUUCAAAUUUUGUUUUAGAUAAUUGUUGAUGUCAAGCUUAUCCCUUCAUCUUAGGCUGUUGCUCAAGAAGAGGGCAAUGAGACUUUCCUAGGCUAUAAAAUCCUAAAAUAUUAGCUAUAUGAAGGAAUUCUGAGGUCACUGAGGAAGGAGCACUACAGUCCUUUUGGGAAUCUCAGGAUAAUUAACCAGGUGUGGGUCACAGGAUUCCCGGGAUGGGUGAUUUGAGGGCUUCUUUUGGCUCCUACCCAUGUGUCUAAUUUCCCUUUCUUUUCCCUCUUCCUUCUCUUUCCCUGGGCUGAGACAAUCAUAGAAUGGUGAUUAAACAUGUAGAACAAAUCAUGGUUCUGCCACAUCAGCUGUGUGACCUUGUACAAGGUGGUUUACGUUUCCUUGCCUUAGUGCCCUAAUCAUACAUUGGUUAUGGUGAUAAUAUACCCACCUCGUGGGGCUGCUGCAUAAAGCAUUUAGAACAAUGUCUGGCACACAGCAAUCACUGUGACACCAGCCAACACAAUUUCCUCUUCUCCUCCCUCUCACAUUCCCUGCUUGACAGCAUCCUGAAGGACUCAGGGGUAAUGCCUUUGUUAAGCAAAAUAAAUAUCUGAACACCUGCA